GAGUUUGAUCCUGGCUCAGAUUGAACGCUGGCGGCAGGCCUAACACAUGCAAGUCGAGCGGAUGACGGGAGCUUGCUCCUUGAUUCAGCGGCGGACGGGUGAGUAAUGCCUAGGAAUCUGCCUGGUAGUGGGGGACAACGUUUCGAAAGGAACGCUAAUACCGCAUACGUCCUACGGGAGAAAGCAGGGGACCUUCGGGCCUUGCGCUAUCAGAUGAGCCUAGGUCGGAUUAGCUAGUUGGUUGGGUAAUGGCUCACCAAGGCGACGAUCCGUAACUGGUCUGAGAGGAUGAUCAGUCACACUGGAACUGAGACACGGUCCAGACUCCUACGGGAGGCAGCAGUGGGGAAUAUUGGACAAUGGGCGAAAGCCUGAUCCAGCCAUGCCGCGUGUGUGAAGAAGGUCUUCGGAUUGUAAAGCACUUUAAGUUGGGAGGAAGAGCAGUAAGUUAAUACCUUGCUGUUUUGACGUUACCGACAGAAUAAGCACCGGCUAACUCUGUGCCAGCCGCCG
rnacentral:rRNA from 1 species